rnacentral:rRNA from 1 species
UUGAACGCUGGCGGCCGGCCUAACACCUGCCAGUCGCACGGUAACAGAAAGCAGCUUGCUGCUUUGCUGACGAGUGGCGGACGGGUGAGUAAUGUCUGGGAAACUGCCUGAUGGAGGGGGAUAACUACUGGAAACGGUAGCUAAUACCGCAUAACGUCGCAAGACCAAAGAGGGGGACCUUCGGGCCUCUUGCCAUCGGAUGUGCCCAGAUGGGAUUAGCUAGUAGGUGGGGUAACGGCUCACCUAGGCGACGAUCCCUAGCUGGUCUGAGAGGAUGACCAGCCACACUGGAACUGAGACACGGUCCAGACUCCUACGGGAGGCAGCAGUGGGGAAUAUUGCACAAUGGGCGCAAGCCUGAUGCAGCCAUGCCGCGUGUAUGAAGAAGGCCUUCGGGUUGUAAAGUACUUUCAGCGGGGAGGAAGGGAGUAAAGUUAAUACCUUUGCUCAUUGACGUUACCCGCAGAAGAAGCACCGGCUAACUCCGUG